rnacentral:tRNA from 1 species
UAGCUCAGUUGGUUAGAGCAUGGUGCUGAUAACACCAAGGCCACGGGUUUGAUCCCCGU